UUUCCGUAGGUGAACCUGCGGAAGGAUCAUUACCGAAUUGUCAAACGGGUUGUUGCUGGUCUUCAAACGGGGACAUGUGCACGCUCUGUUUACACAUCCACUCACACCUGUGCACCCUCCGUAGUUCUAUGGUCUGGGGGACCCUGCCUUCCUGGCGUGGUUCUACGUCUUUACACACACUCUGUAAUAAAGUCUUAUGGAAUGUAUGCCGCGUCUAACGCAAUACAAUACAACUUUCAGCAACGGAUCUCUUGGCUCUC
rnacentral:misc_RNA from 1 species